rnacentral:rRNA from 1 species
UGGGGAAUAUUGCACAAUGGAGGGAACUCUGAUGCAGCGACGCCGCGUGAGUGAUGAAGGAAUUCGUUUCGUAAAACUCUGUUCUAUGGGAAGAAAAGGACUGUACCAUAGGAGAAAGCUCCGGCUAAAUACGUGCCAGCAGCCGCGGUAAUACGUAUGGAGCGAGCGUUGUCCGGAAUUAUUGGGCGUAAAGGGUGCGCAGGCGGCUUUACAAGUUGGAUGUGAAAUAUUGUGGCUCAACCACAAACGUGCAUCCAAAACUGCAAAGCUUGAGUUAAGGAGAGGUAAGUAGAAUUCCUGGUGUAGCGGUGGAAUGCGUAGAUAUCAGGAGGAAUACCGGUGGCGAAGGCGACUUACUGGACUUAAACUGACGCUCAGGCACGAAAGCGUGGGGAGAAAACAGG